GGCGCACGGGUGCGUAACGCGUAUGCAACCUACCUUAUACUGGGGUAUAGCCCGGAGAAAUUCGGAUUAAUCCCCCAUGGUAUUAUUGAUUGGCAUCGAUUAAUAAUUAAAGUUUCGGCGGUAUAAGAUGGGCAUGCGUCCUAUUAGCUAGAUGGUGAGGUAACGGCUCACCAUGGCGACGAUAGGUAGGGGGCCCGAGAGGGUAGUCCCCCACACUGGUACUGAGACACGGACCAGACUCCUACGGGAGGCAGCAGUGAGGAAUAUUGGUCAAUGGGCGCAAGCCUGAACCAGCCAUGCCGCGUGAAGGAAGAAGGUUCUAUGGAUUGUAAACUUCUUUUAUUUAGGAAUAAACCCCUGGUCGAGCGUCAGGGCUGAAGGUACUAAAUGAAUAAGCACCGGCUAACUCCGUGCCAGCAGCCGCGGUAAUACGGAGGGUGCAAGCGUUAUCCGGAAUCAUUGGGUUUAAAGGGUCCGCAGGCGGAUUUAUAAGUCAGUGGUGAAAUCCUGCAGCUCAACUGCAGAACUGCCAUUGAUACUGUAAGUCUUGAAUUUGAUCGGAGUGGGCGGAAUGUGUAGUGUAGCGGUGAAAUGCAUAGAUAUUACACAGAACACCGAUAGCGAAGGCAGCUCACUAGGUUAUAAUUGACGCUCAUGGGCGAAAGCGUGGGGAUCAAACAGGAUUAGAUACCCUGGUAGUCCACGCCGU
rnacentral:rRNA from 1 species